UAAGUAUAAAUAUUCUACUUUGAAACUGCGAACGGCUCAUUAUAUCAGUUAUAAUUUAUUGGAUAGUCCCUUACUACUUGGAUAACCGUAGUAAUUCUAGAGCUAAUACAUGCGUCAAUACCCCUCGUGGGUAGCAAUUAUUAGAUAGAAACCAACCCCUUCGGGGUGAUGUGGUGAUUCAUAAUAAUAGUGCGGAUCGCACGGCUUACGCCGGCGACGGAUCUUUCAAGUUUCUGCCCUAUCAGCUUUGGAUGGUACGGUAUUGGCCUACCAUGGCUUUAACGGGUAACGGGAAAUUAGGGUUUGAUUCCGGAGAGGGGGCCUGAGAGAUGGCCACCACAUCCAAGGAAGGCAGCAGGCGCGUAAAUUACCCAAUCCUAACACAGGGAGGUAGUGACAAUAAAUAACAAUGCCGGGCCUUUGUAGGUCUGGCAAUUGGAAUGAGAACAAUUUAAACCCCUUAUCGAGGAUCAAUUGGAGGGCAAGUCUGGUGCCAGCAGCCGCGGUAAUUCCAGCUCCAAUAGCGUAUAUUAAAGUUGUUGCAGUUAAAAAGCUCGUAGUUGGAUUUGUGGCUGGCGUGGGCGGCCUAGCACUUAGUGCCAGCGCUCUGCCCAUGUCGCCAUCUUUGGGUGGAACCUGUGUGGCAUUAGGUUGUCGUGCAGGGGAUGCCCAUCUUUUACUGUGAAAAAAUUAGAGUGUUCAAAGCAGGCUUAUGCCGUUGAAUAUAUUAGCAUGGAAUAAUGAGAUAGGACCUUGGUACUAUUUUGUUGGUUUGCGCACCAAGGUAAUGAUUAAUAGGGACAGUUGGGGGUAUUUGUAUUCCAUUGUCAGAGGUGAAAUUCUUGGAUUUUUGGAAGACAAACUACUGCGAAAGCAUUUACCAAGGAUGUUUUCAUUAAUCAAGAACGAAAGUUAGGGGAUCGAAGAUGAUUAGAUACCAUCGUAGUCUUAACCAUAAACUAUGCCGACAAGGGAUUGGCGGAGUUUCUUUAUGUCU
rnacentral:rRNA from 1 species